GGCCCCAUGGUCAAGUGGUCAAGACUCCGCCCUCUCACGGCGGCAACAGGAGUUCGAAUCUCCUUGGGGUCACCA
rnacentral:tRNA from 1 species